rnacentral:misc_RNA from 1 species
CUUUUUUCUGAAAGGUGCUUUUUGGUUCUUGAAACCAUAAGAUCCUUUACAAUGCUUGAGAAAUCUAGGAGAAUAUUCCUAUAGUAAAACUAGCGGCUAUUGGCAUUUUGGAUUUUUUGUAUAAGCCCUAGUCAACUAGCUCAGAUUCUUGAAAGCUAUAAAAACAAUGUGCGAAUUCUUGUAUUGUUAAAUCUAUUGACGUACUACAAACAGACAAUGUGUCCUUAAGAUACUAGUUCUUUAAAACUUUGUUCUAUACUCUGAAGUACCCUCCUAUUAUACUCCUGAUAUGCUUUACUUUUACUUUUUAUUUUCAUAUAUCUUCUCCUUAUCCCACCCAAUAAACAAAUUCUUUCUCAUAGAAAUAUGUUAACACUACACUCUUCGCCAAAUACUGAAAAGCUUAAGGGCCAGUGACUAGUUAACAUCC